rnacentral:rRNA from 1 species
AGUGAACGCUGGCGGUAGGCCUAACACAUGCAAGUCGAACGGCAGCACAGUAAAAGCUUGCUCUUACGGGUGGCGAGUGGCGGACGGGUGAGGAAUACAGCGGAAUCUACUUUUUCGUGGGUGAUAACGUAGGGAAACUUACGCUAAUACCGCAUACGACCUACGGGUGAAAGCAGGCGAUCUUCGGACCUUGCGCGAUUGAAUGAGCCGAUGUCGGAUUAGCUAGUUGGCGGGGUAAAGGCCCACCAUGGCGGCGAUCCGUAGCCGGCAUGAGGGGGUGAACUGCCAGACGGGAAAGGAGGCACGGCCACAACGCGAAUGGGAGGCGGCAGGGGGGACUAGUGGAGAAGGGGGGAAGGAAUAAUGCGGCAAGGCCGCGGGGGUGAAGAAGGCCUGCGGGUUGAAAGACGCUGUCGUUGGGGAAGAAAAGAUCUUUUAUAAAGCCCGAAUCUUAUGACGGUACCUAAAGAAUAAGCUCCGGCUAACUACGUG